CCUACGAGGGGCAGCAGUGGGGAAUAUUGGACAAUGGGGGAAACCCUGAUCCCGCGACUUCGCGUGAGUGAAGAAGUAUGUCGGUAUGUAAAGCUCUAUCAGCAGGGAAGAAAGAAAUGACGGUACCUGAGUAAGAAGCCCUGGCUAACUACGUGCCAGCAGCCGCGGUAAUACGUAGGGGGCAAGCUGUAUCCGGACUUACUGGGGGUAAAGGAGGCGUAGACGUUAAUGCAAGUCUGGAGUGAAAGGCGGGGGACGAACCCCCGGACUGCUCUGGACACUGUGUUACUGGAGUGCAGGAGAUGCAGGCGGAAUGCCGAGUGUAGCGGUGAAAUGCGUAGAUAGUAGGAGGAACACCAGUGGCGAAGGCGGCCUGCUGGACUGUAACUGACGUUGAGGCUCGAAAGCGUGGGGAGCAAACAGGAUUAGAUACCCGGGUAGUC
rnacentral:rRNA from 1 species